CUCAUGAAACCAACUCAUCUGAGAAAACAGCAAAGUUUAAAAAAAAAUACUAUCAGUGGCACAAACCAGAAAGGGGAAGUGUGUGGUUUUAAGUUGCUUAUCCCUUAUCCUGUCUGGCUGCUGGAGGCUUGCUGAAGGCUGUAUGCUGUUAAUGCUAAUUGUGAUAGGGGUUUUGGCCUCUGACUGACUCCUACCUGUUAGCAUUAACAGGAUACAGUGCCUGUUACUAGCAUUCACGUGGAACAAAUGGCCGCCGCCGUGGGAGGAUGACAAGACCAUGAGUCACUCUGCUGGAUGAACGUAGAAGUCAGGCUCUAUCACUUCUUAAUGUGCUCAUCGUAACCUGGUUACUAGGAUUUUCCACUGUGAGUGUCACAAUAAAUGUCAUUUAAAAGAUUUAUCAGCAGUAUCCCGAACAACAUCACAACUUCAGGCCCACGUUUAUUUUUAUCUUGAAUGGAAAAUGAAACUUGUAUCAUUUUUAUUCCAAAAUUAUGUUCAUAACCAUUUUCAAUGAUUCAACCAGAAUGCAAAAUGAAUAAACUACAAAAGGACAUUUCUGAUAUUUCUGUAGUUAAGAUCAAGGACAGCCGUUCCCGACUGACAUCUAGGAUUUCUGGAGCACCUCUUGGAAGACUGGGAAUUGGCAUUUUUCUCCCACGUUACUUUAUUAGUCAGCUUUGAUAUAAAAUUCGUAACUCUUAAUUUGUGUUUUAGUUUAAGGAAAAGCUGAGUCAACACUGAGUGAUUUUUUUUUUUAGUUUAUUAGCCAGCUGGUGGUAGUUUACACCUUUAAUCCCAGCACUUGAGAGGCAGAGGCGGGCGGAUCACUGAGUUGAAGGACAGCCUGGUCUACAGAGUGAACUCCAGGACAGCCAGGGCUACACAGAGAAUAGGUAAAGUGUUAAAAACUGACAUGACAGAUGGUCCCUGAGAGUUAGCUACAUUUUCCUCACACAGUACAAAUAUUUAACUUAGAAAUAGUCACAUUUGAAAUGAAACCCCAAAUGUAGGUUCAAGUUUAAUACUUUAGCUGCACAGUAAAGCUGUGUACUCAGGAGACCCACCACCUUUCCUAAACCUUUCUUCAGGUACUGAAUGAGGAUGAAACUUUACAAGAUUGGUAUGCAGCUUACUGGAGAUGAACAACUAUUUGUAAGAUAAUAAAGUCCCAUAGUAAUGUCUUAAA
rnacentral:lncRNA from 1 species